rnacentral:rRNA from 1 species
GGAAUUUUCCGCAAUGGGCGAAAGCCUGACGGAGCAACGCCGCGUGAGGGAUGAAGGCCUCUGGGCUGUAAACCUCUUUUAUCAAGGAAGAAGAUCUGACGGUACUUGAUGAAUAAGCCACGGCUAAUUCCGUGCCAGCAGCCGCGGUAAUACGGGAGUGGCAAGCGUUAUCCGGAAUUAUUGGGCGUAAAGCGUCCGCAGGCGGUCUGUCGAGUCUGCUGUUAAAGCGUGGAGCUUAACUCCAUUUCGGCAGUGGAAACUGACAGACUAGAGUGUGGUAGGGGCAGAGGGAAUUCCCGGUGUAGCGGUGAAAUGCGUAGAUAUCGGGAAGAACACCAGUGGCGAAGGCGCUCUGCUGGGCCAUAACUGACGCUCAUGGACGAAAGCCAGGGGAGCGAAAGGGAUUAGAUACCCCAGUAGUC